rnacentral:rRNA from 1 species
GCUUACGGCCAUACUACCCUGAUCACACCCAAUCACAUCUAAUCUCAGAAGCCAAGCAGGGUCAGCCCUGGUUAGUACUUGGAUGGGAGUACCAGGUGCUAUUGGAG